AUUGAACGCUGGCGGCAGGCCUAACACAUGCAAGUCGAGCGGAUGACGGGAGCUUGCUCCUUGAUUCAGCGGCGGACGGGUGAGUAAUGCCUAGGAAUCUGCCUGGUAGUGGGGGACAACGUUUCGAAAGGAACGCUAAUACCGCAUACGUCCUACGGGAGAAAGCAGGGGACCUUCGGGCCUUGCGCUAUCAGAUGAGCCUAGGUCGGAUUAGCUAGUUGGUGGGGUAAUGGCUCACCAAGGCGACGAUCCGUAACUGGUCUGAGAGGAUGAUCAGUCACACUGGAACUGAGACACGGUCCAGACUCCUACGGGAGGCAGCAGUGGGGAAUAUUGGACAAUGGGCGAAAGCCUGAUCCAGCCAUGCCGCGUGUGUGAAGAAGGUCUUCGGAUUGUAAAGCACUUUAAGUUGGGAGGAAGGGCAGUAAGUUAACACCUUGCUGUUUUGACGUUACCGACAGAAUAAGCACCGGCUAACUCUGUGCCAGCAGCCGCGGUAAUACAGAGGGUGCAAGCGUUAAUCGGAAUUACUGGGCGUAAAGCGCGCGUAGGUGGUUUGUUAAGUUGGAUGUGAAAGCCCCGGGCUCAACCUGGGAACUGCAUCCAAAACUGGCAAGCUAGAGUACGGUAGAGGGUGGUGGAAUUUCCUGUGUAGCGGUGAAAUGCGUAGAUAUAGGAAGGAACACCAGUGGCGAAGGCGACCACCUGGACUGAUACUGACACUGAGGUGCGAAAGCGUGGGGAGC
rnacentral:rRNA from 1 species